UACGUAGGCAGCGAGCGUUUGUUCGGAGUUACUGGGCGUAAAGGGUGUGUAGGCGGUUGCUUAAGUUUGGUGUGAAAUCUCCCGGCUCAACUGGGAGGGUGCGCCGAAUACUGAGUGACUCGAGUGCGGGAGAGGAGAGUGGAAUUCCUGGUGUAGCGGUGAAAUGCGUAGAGAUCGGGAGGAACACCAGUGGCGAAGGCGGCUCGCUGGGCCGGCCCUGACGCUGAGGCGCGAAGGCGUGGGGAGCGAACGGG
rnacentral:rRNA from 1 species